GCUUUUGGAAGAUGAAGGCUGAGCCCUCAGAGACAGAGUUGGAAGGGAUCUUGGAGGUCAUCUAGUCCAACCCCUGUUCACCAGGAGACCUCUACUAGGGAUUCGAACUGCUGAAUUGCCAACCUUUCUGAUCAGCAUCUUAGCCACCUAGCCAGAUGCUAAGCAGUACCCACAGAAAAGGCUACUAAGGGUUUUUAUCUUUCUGGGUUUCAAGCAGUGGUGGGUUGCUACCGGUUCUGUCCGGUUCUUUAGAACCGGUAGAAAAAGCGGCAGGAGGCUCCGCCCACCCGCCCCCAGAUGUCAUAAUUGACGACCGCACACUCCCGUGGCAAACCGGUAGUAAAGGUAAGUAGAACCCACCCCUGGUCUCAAGUGUGGCAACUCAACGGCAAGGUUGCAAGUUAACUUGCCUCGAUUUUGCUGAGUUUGGGCCCAGACCUUCCCCUGAUAUAAUCAGAAGAAACAGGUGCAGCCAUUAUUCAGUAUCAGAUCCAAACUCAUUUAGCUCUCUGCUGUCCCUUCCCAGCAAAUCAUGUAUGACUUUGGAUUCUGCACCUGGACCCUGCUUGGCCUAGACAGCGUUCAUUCCCACCUGCAAGCCAAGGUUUUACUAUUGGGGAGAAACAACAGCAAGGCUGCUGUAACAACAGAGAGGAGGGCGGGGAAACCGAAUUAAAGAAUGUGACAGAGCGUAUAGUACAUACAUUUUGCCAAAAGGCAAAAAUAACUUCAUACAAGACACAACUAAGCUUACACCUUUCAAGUUCUGCAGGAUUUCUGCCUGGGCAUUGAUAUGCAUUUAUAAUACUGCAAAUCCCACUACAUGAUUAAAAUACAAAGCUGCUUUUAGGGCCAUUCAACAUUCUGUAUUUUAUUUCACAUAUAUAUAGAUAUUUAUAUAAAAAGGCCGAAAUAGUGCUAUCCCAGUCUCCCAUAAGUCACAGAAGAAACAACAUAAAAUUUCUGACAGGUCUGAAAGUGAUGAAUAGAGAUUUCAUCCCACCAUGGCCAUUUUAACAUCUUUCAACAUAGGAAAAAACCCUGAUUGCAAAAAUAUCGCACAUUUAUACCUAUGAAUCAAAAGAAAUAAAUAUAUAUAUAGAUAUAUACUGUAUAUAUAGAUUGAUAGAUAGCGAAAGAAACAGAAUCACAUGAUUAAAUGACAUGAGUGACUAUCAAACUUAUCUGAUUCAGUUUCAACCACAAUAAUAAGGGAUAACUUGCAUGAGUCAUGGCAGAUAUAAUACCAUGAGAAAAUUUCAGUAUACGGUUAAAGCUGUCACUAAGCCUUAGAAGUUUUCAGAGCCAGCAGUAAUCUUAAUUUGUUCACCAGGCUUUUAAUUGAAUCUAUAUUGCUAUGCAUCUCUUUGUUCCUGUUUUGGAUUUAAGAUGUUAUAAUGCUAUGGUUUUUUAAUGCUAUUUUGUAUUCUGCUUUGAUGUUAGUAUGGUAAUAAUGAAAAGCAGAUAUUUUAUAAAUAAAUAGAUCACCUGAGCCAAAACAUUCUCAGGGGAAUCACUUGACAAAUUUGACUAUCUUAGCUACCUUUGAGAAAUGCCAAAUUUCAGAGUCCAGUAGUAGCUUUUAAGACAUUUAAGCAUUUUUAAUAUAAUGGGCAUGAGAUUUUGCCAGCCAAGCCUUAGAUACAUGGAGCUUAAUGGGUGGAUUUAAGACAGCUCAUAAAACCUAUCCUGUAUAAUAAAAUGUGUUAGUAUUAUUAUAGAGUCUAUUUGAAUUUUGGCUAUCGUAGACUAAUUUGACUGUCCUGUUAUAUUAAAGAAAUGAAUAGCAUUCAAGGGUUAGAGUUAGAGUUAGAACAUGCACCUGAUGCUGCAUCUAUACUGUCACCUUCAGUUUUCACCAGUGAACACAGAAAGCUUCAUGAAAAGAUAUUAUGGUGCCUGCAAGCAACAGGAUGAUAUUCCUCCACCUCCUUUGUUUAUGAAUUUUUGUAGCAUUUGAUUGGGCUUACAGUGCAACUGGGGAGAGCAUCAGGUUUCUGGAAAGAUAUAGUCAAGCAGUUUGUAUCAGCCUGCCUUCCAUUGAGCACCUGUAAACUGCCAUGUUCCAGAAAGAGGGCUGUGAAAAUAUCUACAGACCCCUCACAUCCUGGACAUAAAAUGUUUCAACUUCUGCCCUCAAGACAACAAGAUAACUAAUUUCCACAAUACGCAAACUAUCUAGUAGGGCUGUAUUACUGUUAUCCUUCUCUUUCCUAUUAUCUAUUUCCGUAUCUUCUUAUGACUAUAACUUUGUUGCUUGUAUCUUACGAUUUAUAUUAAUUGUUUUAUUUAGUAUCCUAGUAUGAUUUAUGUUGAUUGCUUAUUUAGUAUCAUAUGACUGUCACUAAGUAUUGUAUCAUAUGGAUUUAUGAUGAAUGUAUUUUAUGAUGAUUAUAGUCAUGAUUUAUCACUUGUUGGUUUUAUAUGUACACUGAGAGCUUAUGCACCGGAGAUGAAUUCCUUGUGUGUCCGAUCACACAUGGCUAAUGAAGAAUUAUUCUGUUCUGCUCUGCUCUGCUCUGCUCUGCUCUGCCCUGCCCUUCCCUAUCCUAUCCUAUCCUAUCCUAUCCUAUCCUAUCCUAUCCUAUCCUAUCCUAUCCUAUCCUAUUGUUGAGCACUUUGUGUGUUUACAGGCAGUUCUCAACUUAUGACCACAACUGAGCCCCAAAUUUAAUUUGCUAAGCAAGGCAGUUGCUAAGUGAAUUUUGUCCCAUUUUAUUACCUUUUUUGCCACAGUUGUUAAGCGAAUCACUGCAGUUGUUAAGUGAAUCAUGCAGUCAUUAAGCAAAUCUGGCUACCCCCCCCCCAAAUUACUUUGCAGGUCAGAAGCUGGCUGAAAAGGUUAUAAAUGGUCAUCAUAUGACCCUGGGUUUGGUGCAACUGUCUUCAGUUCAUGCCAGCUGCCAAGUGCCCAAAUUUUGAUCACAUGACGAUGGAGAUAUUGCAACCCUUGUAAGUGUGAAAGCUACUCAUAAGUCACUUUUUUCAGUGCCGUUGUAACUUCAAACAGUCACUGUAAGUUGAGAACUAUGUGUAUUUUUCAUGCUGGUUUUUAGACUGUUUCUCAAAACUAACCCAUGAUAAACUCCUGCAUCCAUGUCACAUAUACACAGCAGACUAGUGUGCUGGGAUGGGCAUGAACAUAUGCAGAGGGAGGACUGUUCAAUUAAAAUAAAAGACCCUGAAGAAAUCAGUGGUUCACAGUAUUUAAGCUCACAGCACUGCUCUAUGCCUCAUAAAGAAGCUUAAUGAGUUAUACUUUUCUUCUGUGGAGGAGUUUUCAGGGGGAAAAGAAGUUGUGUUAGAAAGAGAAAAUGGACAUGGAUUGCAUGAGCAGGCUUUAUGAGAAAAAUCUAAUCUCUGAUUGGCCUUUCUUGCACAAAAAAAGGAGCUAGGUGCAUCCUGCAUUUUAAUGGAAAAACAGGAUAUCUCCAAAAAUUCAAAACAAAAAUUAGAAAGCGCUUGAUUCAGCUUCAGAGUCAUGGUAGUAUGCAUCUAUUUUAUUAUUACUUAAUAUUUUAAAAUUGUUGACUAGAGAAUCAGGAAAAAGAACAGCAGGUUAACCAUUAACCAUUUUCCUUUAAACAUUUUUUUCUUCUCAAAAUCAUGCUCUGAUAGUUUUCAGUCAUCCAAGAGGAGAAAAAAGAUAGAAGUGCUGGAACAAUCUGGAGCUCAACAUGCUUAAAGCUGUAGUGAUGAGAGUAGAUUUUAGGAGGAGCCCUUUUAUUCUAUCACCUCUUACUAUUAUUUGACAGCACAGUAUCAGCAGUAGAAUCCUUCAAAUUUUUGGGUUCUAUAAUCUCCCGGGAUUUCAAAUGAACACCUAACAUUGUAAUUAAAAAGGCACAGCAAAGAAUGUUCUUCCUGCGUCAACUCGCGAAGUUCAGACUGCCCCAGGAGUUGUUGAUACAGUUCUACAGAGGAAUUAUUGAGUCUGCAUUUGUAUAGUCUAUAACUGUCUAUAACUAUUUGAUUUGAUACAGCAACCAAACAGAACAGAUACAGACUCCUGUGGAUAGUUAGGACUGCAGAAAAAACUAUUGCAACUAGCUUGGCUUCCAUAGAAGCCCUGUAUAUUGUGCAUCUUAGGCUAAGAAAACAUUUAAAGACCCCUUAUAUCCUGGAUAUAAACUGUUUCAACUCCUCUCUUCAGGACCCUGCUAUAGGGCAAUGUCUACCAAAACAACUAGACACAGGGACAAUUUCUUUUCCUUGUGCCAUCACUCUGCUGAACACCUAAUUCUCACAAUACUAUUUUACGUCCAAGGUAUAUUUACCCAUGGGGUAUGGCUGUAAUAUUAUUAUUAUUAUCCUUCUCAUUUUCUUUACUACCCCCUCUUUUUGAUAUCAUUAUUGUUGUUGUUGUUGUUGUUGUUGUUGUUGUUGUUGUAAUGGUAAGAGAAUACCUGUCUGACCUCGAUGAAUAUAAAUCCCCAGGACCUAAUGGAUUGCAUCCCAGAGUUCUGAGGGAGCUGGCAGAUGUUAUCUCAGAGCCAUUGUAUCAUAUCUUUAAAAAACCUUGGAGCAUCGGGGAACUACCAGAGAAUUAGAAAAGAGCUGAUGUGGUUCCCUUCUUCAAAAAAUGGAAAGAAAAAAACAUGAAACUACAGACCAAUCAGCUUAACAUCAAUACCUGGGAAGAUACCGGAAACACUAAUAAUAAAAAAACCAGAUCUGUGAACAUCUAGAAACAAAUAAAGCCAGCAUGGUUUUGUUAAAAACAGUUCAUGCCAAACCAAUCUUAUUUCAUUCUUUGACAAAGUGACUAAAUUAGUAGACUAGCGAAAUGCUGUGGACAUAGUAUAUUUAGACUUCAGCAAGGCAUUUGACAAAGUAGACCACAAUCUAAUUCUUGGUAAACUAGAAAAAUAUUGGAUAGACAGCAUCACCAGCAGAUGGAUUUGUAACUGUCUGACAAACCAUACUCAACCAGUAGUUCUUAAUGGAACUACAUCUACAUGGAGGAAAAUAAGUAGUGGGGUACCACAGGUUCUAUCUUGGGCCCCAUACUCUUCAAUAUCUUCACAAAUGACUUAGAUGAGGGAAUAGAAGGGGAACUCAUCAAAUUUGCAGAUGAUACUUAGCUGGCAGGAAUAGCCAACAGCACAGAAGAAAAGCUCAGAAUCCAAACAGAUCUUGAUAGACUUCAUUUCAUUUUAUUAGAUUUAUAUACCGCCCUACUCCCGAAGGACUCAGGGCGGUGAACAGCCAGAAAGAUAAAACACACAAACUAUAAAAUUUAAAAGACAAUAUAAAAACCCAUUAAAUAAUUUGGCCCAAAACAAUUUAAAACACCCCUAAUGUUUUAAAACCAAUUUUAAAAAUUACAAUUAAAAGGGAAGUUAGGCCAGGCCAGCCUGUUGAAAUAAAUAGGUCUUGAGGGCACGGCGGAAGGUGCGUAGAUCCAGGAUCCUCCGUAUCUCCAGGGGGAGCUCAUUCCAGAUAGCAGGUGCUCCCACAGAGAAGGCUCUCCCCCUGGGGGCCACCAGUCGACACUGUGACUGAGAACAAGUUAUCCAACAAAAUUACAUUUAAUGUGGAGAAAAGCAAAGUUUUACACCUGGGCAGGAAAAACCAAAAGUACAAGUACAGAUUAGACAAAACCUGGCUCAAAAACAGUAACUGUGAGAGGGACCUUGGAGUCCUAGUGGACAAUCACUUAAACAUGAGUCAGCAAUGUGCAGCAGCAGCCAAAAAUAUAAUCCUUGGUUGUAUAAAUAGAGGCACAGAAUCAAAAUCACUGAAGAAUUACUUUAUAAAGCCUUAGUAACACCACACGUGGAAUACUGCAUCCAGUUUUGGUCAUCACAUUACAAAAAAGAUGUUGAGACUUGGGAAAAGUGCAAAGAAGAGCAACUAAGAUGAUUAACGGCCCAGAGAUUAAAACAUGAAGAACGGUUGCAGAAUUUGGGUUUGGCUAGUCUAGAGAAAAGAAGGAGUAGGAGGGACAUGAUAGCAGUAUUCCAGUAUUUUAGAGGCUGCUACAAAGAUGAGGGCUCAAUUUAUUUUCCAAAGGACCAGAGGGCAGGACAAGAAACAAUGGAUGGAAACUAAUCAAGGAGAGAAGCAACAUGGAAUUAAGGAGAAAUUUAUUAUUACUCUGUUGCUUUCCAUGUACACAGAGCUUCUGCACCAGAGACAAAUCCAUGUGUGUCUAAUCACACUUGGCCAAUAAAGUAUUCUAAUUACUGUACUGAUUAAAAUAACUAUUUGUAGAAUAAGUACCUGAUUUAUAAAAUUAAGGAAUUCCUUCUCUGCAUACCAAUUAACUUCUCUUAUUCAUAAAUCACAGUUACACAAAAAACACUUAAAUUUAUUUCCCUCUGUUCUUCCAAUGCAAACAGCAAAAAGAGGAUGAAUGAAGAAAAGGCAAGGUGUCUGAGGAAGUUAAAAAAAGUCAAGGUGAUAACCAUAUAGUGAGGCGAGCAGCAUAUAAAUUUAAUAAUAAAUAAAUAAAAAUUAAUAAAAUAAUAACAAUUGAAUACUGGGUUAGUUUUCUAUUGAAGAGCCAAGAUUCCUUAUUUCUUCUUACUGUGCCAAGUCAGAUCCAUUUUACUUGGAUGAAGCUUUGCAAUGAAAAGGCUGGCAGAUUAAGUUCAGUUGGUAUUUGACUUCAAUCAGUUCUAUUUUGUGGUGAUUUUAGGAUCUUUUUGGAUUUGCAUCUUUAUUAUUACAUAUGGGAAAUAAUUUGUUUUCAUUGUUCGCUGUCUCAAUCGCUACAGAAUAAAAAAGAUGAACUAAAGACGGAAAUCAAUAAUUCAUCCAAAGGCUCUCAGAAAAGAAGCUGUGAAGUGAACUCUGGUGGAAAGAUUGCUAUAAUGUCAAUGUAUUAUGAAGCACAAGUUUCGGAAACUCAUUUUAUGGGUUUCGUGUUUCAGCCGGAAAAGAAAAACUACAGAAGGUCAUGGUUGUUUUGUGUAAAUCUCUGUAAUGCUGAGUUGGUUGCAACCUCAGAAUAAUUUGCUUCAGUCUAUGGAAUUAGUCCAAGCACUUUAUCCAAAAUCUGUUUGAAACAUCUGUAUCUUUUUUCCAUUCACACCUUUCUCAAAACGAAAGCGUACACAAACUUUCCUCCUACUGUAAAUUACAUUGUGAAUAUGAAUUCAGCAAAUUAAAAAGUGAAUGAACGUAUGUUUAUUUCCAGAUUCAUCUCACACCCAAACAUGCGUAUUUUGGAUCAAGGACAGACAGACAAAUAGAAACAGUCUCUGCUCAUAAUGCCAGAGCGUCUCUAUUUUCACAACUAUGGAAAAGUUUUUGUGCACGUCUAAUUGUAUGGGGAAUUAUUUUCAAAUACAAGAAAGAGCCACAUGAGCAGUUUUGAUGACAGUAUUAUAAGGAUACAAACAGAUUACAAAGAGUUCCAAAUGAAUAACUUCAAAUUAGAUAUACCACUAGCAGUACAACAGAUGAAAUUUAAUUCAAGUGUAGUUGUUGUUGUUUUUGAGGGGGGGUGAUUUGCUUUUCUAGGGCUGCACAAAUUAUUUCAAAGGUUCAGAAAGCAGUUUGUGGAUACCUUGAAAGAAAAUUGGCCAAUGUAGAUUUGGCUAAAGUUUUCUCUGAGAUUUAUUUAUUUUUAUUGCAUGAACUGAUUAGAAAAAAAAAAUAAGAAAAAAUAUAAACAAGUACAGUUUUUAAAAAAUAAAUAUCUAAUGUCCUGUAUAUCCAAUAACUGGCUCAGCUACUUUGAUUUUCUAUCAGCAUCAGGUAACAAUAUUUUUAUUGAGACAAAAUAUUGAUUGUAUUGAGCUGACUAAUUUUUGAAUCAUGCCUUGUGUUAAUAUGUGGAUUUUACUGGAAGUCUUGUGGUACUUUUAACUUACUGCCUUUGUAAUUUAAUAUAUACAAAGUUGUCACUGGCUUUUGGAAAUGGAUAUUGUUAGUCAUGUUACGCAGUAUAUGAAUAAAGUGGAAUAUAUAUCACAUGUCAAACAAAUAAACCAUGUCUUAAGAUUAAUGUAAAAAAAUAUUGUUGGGAUCUCAGAGAAAAUAUGUAUGAAAAUAUCACACAGCCACAACAUAUCUGAGGAUAGUGUCUGGCAGUUACAAGAAUAACACAGAAGUCAUAAUAACAAAGACUAUAUAAGUACAAUUGUACUAACUUUUUUUAAAAAAAUUAAUUUAUAUCCUACUUCUAUUGUUUUUACAAAUACAGGUAGUCCUUGAGCCCAAAAUUUAUUUUGCUAAGUGAGAAAUUUGUUAAGUGAGUUUUACCCCAUUUUAUGACUUUUCUUGCCUCAUUUGUUAAGUGAAUCACUGCAAUUGUUACAUUAGUACCACCGUUGUUAAGAGAAACUGGCUUUCCCAUUGACUUUGAAGUUCACAAAAGGUGAUCUCAUGACCCCAGGACACUGCAGCCACCAUAAAUAGGAACCAUUUGUCAAGCAUCCAAAUGUAAAUCACAUGACAUGGGGAUGCUGCAAUGGUCAUAAGUGUGAAAAAUGGUCAUAACUCACUUUUUUCAGAGCUGCUAUAACUUCUGAAAGAAGAUGCAUGUCAUUUGAAUGACAGGAAAGGCUGAAAAUUUUAAAAAAUGAAGAUGCUAUCUCAGGCUCACACAUUGAACAGUUAUUGUCACAGUAUUUCACCAAGUAAAAUUCACCAAGCCCAAGAAAUUGCUGGAGAAAAAAAAGGUUCUAUCAUAUCUCAAGACUUAAAAUGGACACCUAACAUCAAAAACGUCAUCAAAAAAUCACAACAAAGAAUGUUCUUUCUGCGCCAACUCAGAAAGCUCAAACUAUCCAAGGAGCUGCUGAUCCAGUUCUACAGAAGAAUUGUUGAGUCUGUCAUCUGCACCUCUAUACAGUAACUGUCUGGUUUGGUUCUGCAACCAAACAAGACAGACACAGACUUCAAUGAAUAAUUAGAACUGCAGAAAAAUCAAUUGCUACCAACCUGCCUUCCAUUGAGGACCUGUAUACUACACAAGUCAAAAAGAGGGCUGUGAAAAUAUCUACAGACCCCUCACAUCCUGGACAUAAAUUGUUUCAACUUCUACCCUCAAAAUCACCCUAUAGGGCAUUGCACACCAGAACAACUAGACACAAGGACAGUUUUUCCCUGAAUGUCAUCACUCUACUACACUCUAAACAACUAAUUCCCACAACACUGUCAAACUAUUUACUAAGACUGUAUUACUAUUAUUCUUCUCAUCCUUCCUAUUACCUAUCUCCUCCCACUUAUUACUAUAAUUUUGCUGCUUGUAACUUUUCAAUUUAUAUUGUUUUAUUUGUUUCCUAGUAUGAUUUGAUUGCUUAUUUAGUAACCUAUGACUAUCACUAAGUAUUGUAUCUUAUGAUUCUUGAUUAAUGUUUUUUUCUUUUUAUGUACACCGAGAGCAUAUGCACCAAAGGCAAAUUCCUUGUGUGUCCAAUCAUACUUGGCCAGUAAAGAGUUCUAUUCUAUUCUAUUCUAUUCUAUUCUAUUCUAUUCUAUUCUAUUCUAUUCUAUUCGGUGCCCUAUAAUUGUAUCUAUAAGAUUUCAAUUUCCUCGGCUAGCAUAAUAAAUUUUUAGCAGUUUUCAGUGCACUUAGUAUGCAGUUCCAAAUUAAUUAGAUGAUAAAAGAUGAUAGAGAUGAUAGAUGGCUAGAGAUAGAUAGAUAGAUAGAUAGAUAGACAAAUAGAUAGAUAGAUAGAUAGAUAGAUAGAUAGAUAGAUAGAUAGAUGGAUGAUAGAUAGAUAGAUAAUAUCUCAGUGCUAGGUCUAAGCCUACAAUUGUAGUAUUGUGGAAAUUUGUAAUGGUUUUAAUGUCAUAAUUUUGACAUCUCUGUAAGAUGCUCACCACAACCAUACUUGUUUCCUGCUUUAAAUAUAAAAUGAAGAAAGACAAAAAGAAAAUAAGAGUAGAAAUAAGAGUGAAUUGCAGCAAAUGUUCCAUGUACUAAAAGGAAUGUAAUACUACACCAUUUAUUCAUUCCUAUCCAGUAUGAAAUAAGCACUAAAAUUAAUUUCAGAAUGUAGGCUCGUGUUUUUUUUUAAAUUCAGAAAGACUUCCUUAGAAGGUGGCAGGCUAUUAGUGUAGAAUUAUUCCUGACUACCUGCUCAAGUUAGUAGCGCUGCUACAAAGAAAAAUUGGAUAACUACAGGCAGAUGGCUGGCAAUUAAUAGGACUAGAGAGAGGAAGGGAAACCAAAGCCAUGCUAACAGUAGAGGGGGGGAAAUCACCUGAGACAGUGAUUAAAAAUAAUGAUGUGCUGCACUAUAAUUGGUAAUAAACUUAGCUUUUUAUA